GAGUUUGAUCCUGGCUCAGGAUGAACGCUAGCGGCAGGCUUAACACAUGCAAGUCGAGGGGUAGGUUACUUCGGUAAUUGAGACCGGCGCACGGGUGCGUAACGCGUAUACAAUCUACCUUUUACAGAGGGAUAGCCCAGAGAAAUUUGGAUUAAUACCUCAUAGUAUUUUUGAAUGGCAUCAUUUGAUUAUUAAAGUUCCAACGGUAAAAGAUGAGUAUGCGUCCCAUUAGCUAGAUGGUAAGGUAACGGCUUACCAUGGCAACGAUGGGUAGGGGUCCUGAGAGGGAGAUCCCCCACACUGGUACUGAGACACGGACCAGACUCCUACGGGAGGCAGCAGUGAGGAAUAUUGGACAAUGGGCGCAAGCCUGAUCCAGCCAUGCCGCGUGCAGGAAGAAGGGCCUAUGGAUUGUAAACUGCUUUUAUACAGGAAGAAACAACAUUACGUGUAAUGUCUUGACGGUACUGUAUGAAUAAGGACCGGCUAACUCCGUGCCAGCAGC
rnacentral:rRNA from 1 species